ACUGUGGAUUAAGGAAGACGUGGGCCCUGCUGUGCUCCGGAGAAGAUCCCUGCGUGGGAUACAUACAGAGCCAAUGUGUACGUGCCCUAGGAGGCAGGAAUGCACGAGCCGGCAAGCAGAAAGCACAGGGGGAUGACAAGGAAGGUUUCGGACAAAAAUGUCGGGUUACGCCCCUGGAAAGUGCUGGGUCACGCCCCUUAUUGGAGAAGCCACGUCCCUUGUAGGGAAUUCUAAGGCGUGCGCCUAAAAAUUUUACCAAGAACCCGAUAACAAGUGUCGGUUUCAGCAUAGUA